rnacentral:rRNA from 1 species
GUAGGGAAUAUUGGGCAAUGGAUGCAAGUCUGACCCAGCCAUGCCGCGUGGAGGAAGAAGGUCCUCUGGAUUGUAAACUCCUUUUUUGGGGGAAGAAUAGUUCUCUUGCGAGGGAAUGUGACGGUACCCUAAGAAUAAGCCACGGCUAACUACGUGCCAGCAGCCGCGGUAAUACGUAGGUGGCAAGCGUUAUCCGGAUUUAUUGGGUUUAAAGGGUGCGUAGGUGGUUUGAUAAGUCAGUGGUGAAAGCUGGUUGCUCAACAAUCAAGUUGCCAUUGAUACUGUCGGACUUGAGAGAAGUGGAGGUUCAUGGAAUGGAUGGUGUAGCGGUGAAAUGCAUAGAUAUCAUCCAGAACGUCGAUUGCGAAGGCAGUGGGCUGUACUUUAUCUGACACUGAGGCACGAAAGUGUGGGGAUCAAACAGGAUUAGAUACCCGAGUAGUCC